AUGUCUGGCCAAAAAAGGACUUGGCAGCAAGUCAAGAUUAAAUACAAGAAUAUUUUGCAGGCUGCAAUAAAAAAAAAAAGUCAUAUAUCUGGUACGGGGGGUGGCCCUCCAACCCAAGACUUCACCACAGCAGAGGAGCUGGCCCUGGACUUAAAUAAAGGGAAGCCAGUGAUUGAAGGGAUCCAGGGAGGGACAGCCACUGACUCUGGCCCAGCAAGGGAUACUGGCCUCUUCAUACAAGUGGCUGGUAACACCCUUACAUUUUUGGAGCCACCAGACUAUAAUUCAUCGAGGGAAGCCACAUCUACAGCAGUGGAGUGCACUUCUGCCGAUGAUGAGACCGUGUCGCUGGACUCCAGAAGGCUCGAGGAUCCUGACAUUGGGCAGCCUGAUAAGCAGCCUCGUAACAUAAGUUCACAAACUGUCAGAUAUCUGUACACAACGCAUCUUAAGAGACAGAUCGAGCUGACAGAAGUCAAGAUUGAUGUGAAAAAAAGAAAGCUGCAGGACAUGGACCUUGAGAUGCAAAUUAAACGAAACACACUGAGGAAACUAGAACUGGAAAUCCAGAAACUAGAAAGAGAACUCCAAGCUGACAAGUGAUAACAACAAAAUAAUAAAAGAAAAAUAUUCCAAAAGCA
ensembl:lncRNA